AUCUGAAAACGGCCAAGUGUGAAUCACUUUCGAAAAUAACGAAUGUGUAACUUUGAUCCACGAAUAUAAUAUAUGAUAACAUGUCAUGUCAGUCAGUUGGUAAAUCUAGUCCAUUUAGUUAAUCUAGUUCAUUUCUUUGUAAGAAACAUAGUGCAUAUUAAAAAAUCUAAAAGAUAGUAUAAAUGAGACAUUUCUUUAACUAACUUCAUCAUAAGAAAAAAAUAAAAUGAACAACCUUACAAAAAUAAAUGAAAUCCCACCCAAAACAAAAAUGUGAAAGACUGCCAAGUUCGAUAAUAUGGGAAUGCUUCGCCUAUAAAAGAAGUGAGAUCUGAAUAAGUACCAAGUUCCAUACACAUACCUCAAUUAAAAAUAGUUACUUUUUAAUGAUGUUACUUGGCAAGUUUUAAUAGAAAAUUAAAUACUUGAUUCAUUGCGUUUAGUAGAUUUAUAACAAGGUGUAUGAAAACUUGCCAAGUAACAUCAUUAAAAAGUAACUAUUUUUAAUUGAGGUAUGUGUAUGGAACUUGGUACUUAUUCAGAUCUCACUUCUUUUAUAGGCGAAGCAUUCCCAUAUUAUCGAACUUGGCAGUCUUUCACAUUUUUGUUUUGGGUGGUAUCACAUUCACACUGCCGAUGUCCUCAGGUGUCACUCCUUUUUACAU
rnacentral:lncRNA from 1 species